AUUGAACGCUGGCGGCAGGCCUAACACAUGCAAGUCGAGCGGAUGAAGGGAGCUUGCUCCUGGAUUCAGCGGCGGACGGGUGAGUAAUGCCUAGGAAUCUGCCUGGUAGUGGGGGAUAACGUCCGGAAACGGGCGCUAAUACCGCAUACGUCCUGAGGGAGAAAGUGGGGGAUCUUCGGACCUCACGCUAUCAGAUGAGCCUAGGUCGGAUUAGCUAGUUGGUGGGGUAAAGGCCUACCAAGGCGACGAUCCGUAACUGGUCUGAGAGGAUGAUCAGUCACACUGGAACUGAGACACGGUCCAGACUCCUACGGGAGGCAGCAGUGGGGAAUAUUGGACAAUGGGCGAAAGCCUGAUCCAGCCAUGCCGCGUGUGUGAAGAAGGUCUUCGGAUUGUAAAGCACUUUAAGUUGGGAGGAAGGGCAGUAAGUUAAUACCUUGCUGUUUUGACGUUACCAACAGAAUAAGCACCGGCUAACUUCGUGCCAGCAGCCGCGGUAAUACGAAGGGUGCAAGCGUUAAUCGGAAUUACUGGGCGUAAAGCGCGCGUAGGUGGUUCAGCAAGUUGGAUGUGAAAUCCCCGGGCUCAACCUGGGAACUGCAUCCAAAACUACUGAGCUAGAGUACGGUAGAGGGUGGUGGAAUUUCCUGUGUAGCGGUGAAAUGCGUAGAUAUAGGAAGGAACACCAGUGGCGAAGGCGACCACCUGGACUGAUACUGACACUGAGGUGCGAAAGCGUGGGGAGCAAACAGGAUUAGAUACCCUGGUAGUCCACGCCGUAAACGAUGUCGACUAGCCGUUGGGAUCCUUGAGAUCUUAGUGGCGCAGCUAACGCGAUAAGUCGACCGCCUGGGGAGUACGGCCGCAAGGUUU
rnacentral:rRNA from 1 species